AUGAUUGUGUCAUUUGUGACUUAAUUUGUCAGAUGAGGAUGUUAUAAUUCUUUUUUUUUUUUCCUUUCGCUUGGUAAGUGCGAGAAAUAAAACCUCUAUAAAGAAACCUAGGUACCACCUGAUUUUAUUCUCAUUAAUUUAUUUCCUACUAAAUUGUACUUAGAAAAUAAGGUUUGAGAUGUUGUUGCUGUUUGAUUACUACCAUUUUUUCCCCACUAGUGUGGGUGUUGUAAGUUGUCUCACAUUGGACAACUAGCCUAUAGAGUUGUCUAUAGGAAAUGUAUUAAUUUCUAAAAUUCAAGUUAUAAUUAAGUACCUUUUCAAUA